AACGAACGCUGGCGGCGUGCUUAACACAUGCAAGUCGAACGGAGUUAUUAGGAAGUAGCAAUACGGAAUAAUAACUUAGUGGCGGACGGGUGAGUAACACGUAGGUAACCAACCCUAAAGCGGGGGACAACCCAGGGAAACUUGGGCUAAUACCGCAUAAGACCACGGACUGGGAUGUCUGUGGUAAAAGGAGCAAUCCACUUUAGGAUGGGCCUGCGGCCUAUCAGGUAGUUGGCGGGGUAAAGGCCCACCAAGCCUAAGACGGGUAGCCGGACUGAGAGGUUGAACGGCCACACUGGAACUGAGAUACGGUCCAGACUCCUACGGGAGGCUG
rnacentral:rRNA from 1 species